UAACAAGCAUACAUCCCAGGA
rnacentral:misc_RNA from 1 species